rnacentral:rRNA from 1 species
AUUGAACGCUGGCGGCAUGCUUUACACAUGCAAGUCGAACGGUAACAGGCCUUCGGGUGCUGACGAGUGGCGCACGGGUGAGUAAUGCAUCGGAACGUACCCAGAGGUGGGGGAUAACGCAGCGAAAGCUGUGCUAAUACCGCAUGUGAUCUGAGGAUGAAAGCGGGGGACCGAGCAGCAAUGUUUGGCCUCGCGCCUUUGGAGCGGCCGAUGUCGGAUUAGCUAGUUGGUGGGGUAAAGGCCUACCAAGGCGACGAUCCGUAGCUGGUCUGAGAGGACGACCAGCAACACUGGGACUGAGACACGGCCCAGACUCCUACGGGAGGCAGCAGUGGGGAAUUUUGGACAAUGGGCGCAAGCCUGAUCCAGCAAUGCCGCGUGCGGGAAGAAGGCCUUCGGGUUGUAAACCGCUUUUGGCAGGAACGAAACGGUGUCCGCUAAUACCGGGCGCUAAUGACGGUACCUGCAGAAUAAGCACCGGCUAACUACGUG